GAGGUCCUUCAAGCAAUCGCUCGGGCGGCUUGACUGCCUGAGAGGAAAGUCCGAGCUCCAUAGGACAUGACGCCGGAUAACGCCCGGGAGCCGUAAGGCUACAGAGAGUGCAACAGAAAGUAUACCGCCCCGCAAGGGGUAAGGGUGAAAUGGUGGGGUAAGAGCCCACCGGUCUUUCAGUAAUGGAAGGCGCAUGGUAAACCUCGUCAGGAGCAAGGUCAAGAAGCGUGUGGAUUGUCCGUCCCAUACACGCGGGUAGGCUGCUUGAGACUGUCGGUGACGGCAGUCCUAGAUAGAUGAUUGCAUAAACAGAACUCGGCUUAUGAAGGGCCUUCUAU
rnacentral:RNase_P_RNA from 1 species